AUUCAAACGUCUGACACGCAGAGAAACACAGAAGUGGAUGAAGACGAGGAUGAAGUGUUGCUGAAGGCCGGGGACGAGUGGAGCGAGGGAGAACUACAAACUCUAUUUCCCACAAUGCACCGGGACACACCUCUGUCACAUUGCAUCGGUGACUGGCUGGUCUGCUGUCCAAUAGGACAACAGGAUGAAUCUAAGGAGGCGGGGACACAGGACGCCUGUCUGUCUGAAGCAGAGGAUUGUGGGACGUGUAGUCCAGAGGAGCUGCUGCAGGAGACUGUCGAGAGACUGAAGACAGUGAUGGAGACAGACAGGUGGAGAGAGAGACAGACAGGUGAGAGGGCGGAGCUUCUGCAGGCUGCGGACCAGGUGGGGAGCUCCAUACACCACCUGGUGGACGCUGUGAGAACUGACACACUGAUGACUUUCAGAUCGAAGGGUUCUCGUUUCCGGUCUGACUUCUUCUGCGUCAUUAGACGGAACGUCUCGCAGCAGCCCGACGGUGCUGCCGCCAACAGGUCGGAAGGAGGACUACAGCUCUUGACGACUCAAAUACACCCAAAACUAGUGAGACACACUUUGUUCAAAG